rnacentral:rRNA from 1 species
GAUGAACGCUGGCGGCGUGCUUAAUACAUGCAAGUCGAGCGAACAGACGAGGAUCUUGCUCCUCUGACGUUAGCGGCGGACGGGUGAGUAACAUGUGGAUCACCUACCUACAAGACUGGGAUAACUUCGUGAAACCGGUGCUAAUACCGGAUAAUAUAUUGAUCGGCAUGGUUCAAUAGUGUAAGACGGUUUUGCUGUCACUUAUAGAUGGCUCCGCGCGGCAUUAGUUGGUUGGUAGGGUAACGGCUUCCCAAGGCAACGAUGCGUAGCCGACCUGUGAGGGGGUACGCCGACACAGGGGGUGAGCCACGGUCCUGGCACUUACGGAAGGCAGAGGUAGCGAAUCUUCGGAGAUGGGCGAAAUCUUGAAGGAGGGGCGCCGCGUGGAUGAAGAAAGUCUGCGGAUGGUAAAACGCUGUUAGGGGGGAAAAACGAAUGUAUAAGUAGCUAUGCUCGUCUUGACGGUACCUAAUCAAAAAGCCCCGGCUAACUACGUG